CCUACGGGAGGCAGCAGUGAGGAAUAUUGGUCAAUGGGCGCGAGCCUGAACCAGCCAAGUAGCGUGAAGGAUGACUGCCCUAUGGGUUGUAACUUCUUUUAUAUGGGAAUAAAAUGUUCCACGUGUGGGAUUUUGUAUGUACCAUAUGAAUAAGGAUCGGCUAACUCCGUGCCAGCAGCCGCGGUAAUACGGAGGAUCCGAGCGUUAUCCGGAUUUAUUGGGGUUAAAGGGAGCGUAGGUGGAUUGUUAAGUCAGUUGUGAAAGUUUGCGGCUCAACCGUAAAAUUGCAAUUGAUACUGGCAGUCUUGAGUACAGUUGAGGUAGGCGGAAUUCGUGGUGUAGCGGUGAAAUGCUUAGAUAUCACGAAGAACUCCGAUUGCGAAGGCAGCUUACUAAACUGCCACUGACAUUGAUGCUCGAAAGUGUGGGUAUCAAACAGGAUUAGAUACCCUAGUAGUC
rnacentral:rRNA from 1 species